rnacentral:lncRNA from 12 species
GGUUAUGCAUGUCCUACACCCAUUGCCUGGGAAUGAAGGGAGAGAAUUGCAGAGUUUUGUGAAGAUUAGGAUGUGAAGGGAGUUUACAGGGCAGCAGUGGCCAUUUUUUCCCUUACACCUCAUUCUCCCUGUGCUUCUCUUCUCAGGUUGCUGCUACCUCGGGGCUGAAGACAGGGAUGAUGACACUGCAGUGAAGAGCUCAGAUUUUCCUUCAAGCAGACAGGCUUAGCUUGUCUCUAUUUGCUAAUCUUUCUCUGCAGCCAUCCUAGGCAAUCAGAGGAGCAGUGAGAAGAGUGGGGAAGGUGCAAAUGGGAAGUGAGAAUAACCAGGUGCUUAAGGCACUCUCUGACCAGCUGUACAAAACCAGCAUUUCCAAGAGUCAAGGAGGGAGAGGUGCAUUUCAGUGACCAAGUGUCCAGUGAUUGACUUCUGAGUAAAG